rnacentral:lncRNA from 1 species
AUCAAUUUUGCAGCAAUAGCUAGACAAUCAGCGAGACAAAGUCACAAAACCAUGGCUUCUGCAGAUGCUAUCCUGUCUUCGCAGGUGGCCGGUGAAUGCCUGAAGAUCAACAAGGUCAGUCAGUCACUUCUUCUCACUCAAAUCAACAAAGAUUCUUCACGAAUAUAUAUACAUAUAUUCUUGAUCUUGCACAUGCUGCUGCUGUUGCUGUUCUUGCUCGAUUAGGACCAUUUUACAUCUGUUGAUUUCUUGUGAUUUUGCAGCUGGCAGCAGCAAGCCCAGUGAAAGUAGUGCAGGUGCAGAAGCCGAGCAAAGAGACGAAGAACAUCAGCGGUGCACCUGUAGCUGCCGCUGCCGUCAGGGUGGUUGUGAGCAAGCAAGUGAUGAAGCCACGGUUUGCCGUGGAGCUGGAUGGGCUCAACUGCUUCGAGACACUUGU